rnacentral:rRNA from 1 species
GACGAACGCUGGCGGCGUGCUUAACACAUGCAAGUCGAACGAACAGACGCGGCUUUUGUUCGGUGCUCGUGUGGCGAACACGUGAGUAACACAUGAGUAACAUGCCCUUGACUUUGGGAUAUCUUCACGGGACACGGGCUAAUACCGGGUAGGAGCUCCUGCUGCGUAGUGGGGGAUGGAGAGUUUCGGCGGUGGUGGCUGGACUCGCGGCUUAUCAGCUUGUUGGUGGGGUAGUGGCGUACCAAGGCUGUGACGGGUAGCCGGCCUGAGAGGGUGACCGGCCACAUUGGGACUGAGAUACGGCCCAGACGCGUACGGGAGGCAGCAGUGGGGAACCUUGCACAACGGGCGGAAGCCUGAUGCAGCAAUGCCGCGUGCGGGAUGCCGGCCUUUGGGGGGUAAACAGCUGUCUCCGGAGACGAAGCGUGAGUGACGGUAAUUGGUAAAGAAGCACCGGCUAACUACGUG